AGUCCUGGAAACGGGGAUACUGAGAUGGAGAGGCUUGAGCGCUGCCGCAAAGGAAAAAUCAGACGCAGACACGAGAAAUUCUGUGCUGUCUGGGACGCAGGAGGAGGAGAGUCCUCGUCACUGGGAGCCCAGCUCCGCCGCUCCUGCCCGGAUGCUCGGUGGUCCGCAGAAAGCUCCCUUCUUAGUCGCUGACUCAGGACUAUGAUAGCAGUGGCACUCAGAGGUGGCUUAAUGGAGAGCAUACCUUUAUUCGUCUUUUGCUCGCAGAUCUCUUAGCCACCCUUCCCUGCCCGCUCUGUGAUGUACAGAAUGCGGACACACUCACUCCCUGUACAAAUGGUACCUGCUGGAGCUCAGCCAGUUGAAGCCAACGAUAGAAACUGCAAGAGGAGACUCUCGGCUUCAGCCUGGAAUUUGACUACGACUCUAACAAGCCGAGACUCUCAACACUCAGCUCUCAGCCCAUUCUUAGCUCCAGCCUAUUUUGUACCACCCACACAGAUGAUGCUCCAUCAGAAGGUCUAGAAUAAGGCCAUAGUGAAUAACUAUCAGUCAUUCCUGGUGUUUCUUCCACCCCGGGGCCAGUAGCUAACCUUCAGGCUACACCAGAAGAGAGGGAGACUGGCCUGCGCCUUUUGGAACCUAAGGUGUUGCACCUGGGCGCACCCUACCUGAGGAGGUUCAACUAUGCAUCAUUCUGCCUACUUCAUACAGGUGGCUGAGGCUGGAGGCGGAUGCUCGGAGCACUGAUCCAUCCAUUAGCUGGCCUGUGCUGCCCUCUGCCGGCCAGUGGGGUUUAACAGCCACCCUAAGCCGAGAGAGACCUGGAAUUGGAGCCAGCUGACUGCUUUGAGAGAAAACCUGUUAGGAAUGGACUUUUGAGGGCGUUCCCUUUCCUGUGCAAGUGAGUUUUGGUCCUACAGAGGAAGGGUAAAGCUGGGAAAGUGGCUUGUUUUCAUAAAGUCUGUGAGGCGCUUCCACUCAGGUGCCGAAAGGGAGAUCAGGAGGUAGCAGUGUUCCAAGAAGCCCUCUAACCAACGAUUUCCAAUCUUCCCACCGGUGGCAAAACUCCCAGAGGGCACAGUUUCAAGAUUCAGUUUUUCCACCUUUAAAACGGAGACGAAUGUGACCUUGCAGGAUUUUGAGAGGGUGAGGAUUUCUGUAAAGUGCCAGUGAGGUGUGCAAGCCCUGUCCCUGUGUAAGUGUAGCUGCCAAGCCUCAUCAAAGAAGGUUCUCUUUACACCUAACAGAGACCGUCCCAGAAGACAGCUCGAUACAAUGCAAGAUCACCAGAUCCCAACAGAUACAUCUGCAUCACAGCUCCUGCAUCCACGGCCGAGGGAACUUGGAGGAAGUAGGCGUGGGAAGAUUGUAAGAGCCUGUAUACCAAGAAGUCUGCCGUGAGCAUCUCUCCUGGAAAUGGCUGCAUAAACUAGACCGAAGCAGUGGCAUAUCUGAUGGACAUGUUAACGUGGAAGGGAGAGGUUUUCUUGGGGUUCCACCCCUAGACAAAGACCUACAGGCCACUAGUGGCUGCUGGGAGAGAGAGUUAGCUACUCCCAGAGAUGGACCCCUUUAUUUGUUGCACAAUGCAGAGUGGUCAGCCUUGAAACCAUAUACAGCAGCAAAAGGAACAGGCUUAGCAGGUUGUAUUUACAUAUAAUUGUGAAUACACAUACAUACUAAUCUAUAGAUGUAUGUGAAAAUAAUUUUUAAAGAAGGGUACUUAACUUGAGCACUGGGGCUUGAGAGGGACUGGAGGACAGAGAUCUGGCAGGGGCUGGAAGAAAGUGAGGGGAGCGAUGUAAUUCUAUUGUUAAAAUGUAUUUUUUAAGUGCCUGUGAGGGGCUGGAGACAUGGCUCAGCAGUUAAGAAUGCUGAAUUCUCCUGCAGAUGACUAGGUUCAGUUCUGAACACUCGCAUGCCAGCUCACAACCAUCUAUCUGUAACUCCACAUCCAGGGAUCUGACCCUUCUGACUUCAGUGGCUCCCAGAUGCCCAAAGUACACACACAUACACAUACAAAUAGAAUCGGUAUAUAAUUAAGAGUGCCUGCAGACACCUAGAAAUGGCAGCUGUGAAGAAGGACAUGUAAUUUUCACUAAAUGUCAGGAUGAGAAAUUUAUCAAGAUUCUGUUACAGGUUUUCAGGGUCAAAGCCUGGGUGCUGAAAGUCUAAACUUGACUGUUUAUGCACAGUAUGUUUGUGCUGUGCCCUGUAUGUCAAUUAAAGAUACAAGCAAUAAUAAAAA
rnacentral:lncRNA from 1 species